rnacentral:lncRNA from 1 species
UGUUCAUAAGUCACAUGAAACAAAAUUGCCAUUGAUCUCAAACAAUCAACAUCUUUACAUGCAAAUGUCAUCAAAAGGACUUUUUAAGGCUUGUAAUGAGGUUGGGUUAACAAGAAGAAUUGGUUUUUCUAGAAUGCAAAAUCCUUGAGUCAAGAGAGACAUCAACAUAUUCAACAUUUAAGCACAACUCUCUCACUAAUGUCUCUCAUUCCCAACUUCUUCCCUUUUCUUUUCUUUUUCAUUGAGCUCAUCUUCAUGUUUUUCUUCUUUUCUUUUCUUUUUCUCAUGAAUUUUUUUUUUCACAACAUUUGAGCUCAAUGCUUUUCACUUGCUUUUUCAAUUUUCCCCCUACAACCCCAAACUUGAACCUUUUCAUCACAUACAAUUAAGCUCAUCCCAACUCAAGGUAAAGAAUUUCAAAAGAAGGGUUCACAUCCUGUUUAAGGCUAAGGUUCAAAAAGGGUAUAAUAUUUCAAGCACUUUGGGUGAAAAUUUGGCUAGAGAAGGUUUUUCAAAAAUGGCCUUGAUCAUAUGACAUUCACAUGCAAUUCAAUCGAUCAUCAAGAUUAAGGCAAUAUCAUCCAUGUUUUCCUGUGAACAAUGCAUACAUCUAUAAAAACUUUGGAGCUCAAAAUCUCACACACAUUGCUUUCUCACACAAAAUUCAUUCAUACACCCUGCCUAGCAUCAUGCCCACAAUCAUAAUUCAUCACACAUCUAUUUCACAUAAUAUCAACAUGCAUUGAACCUCAAUUCUCAUCCACAUCAAAUAAUCAUCUAAUAACUUCAUCAUGCACAUCAGUCAGUCAAACAUUUUCAGAAAAAGUACUUAAGCCAAGGAUACACACCG